GAUGAACGCUGGCGGCGUGCCUAAUACAUGCAAGUCGAGCGAAUGGACUAAGAGCUUGCUCUUAUGAAGUUAGCGGCGGACGGGUGAGUAACACGUGAGUAACCUGCCCAUAAGACUGGGAUAACUCCGGGAAACCGGGGCUAAUACCGGAUAACAUUUUGAACCGCAUGGUUCGAAAUUGAAAGGCGGCUUCGGCUGUCACUUAUGGAUGGACCCGCGUCGCAUUAGCUAGUUGGUGAGGUAACGGCGCACCAAGGCAACGAUGCGUAGCCCACCUGAGAGGGUGAUCGGCCACACUGGGACUGAGACACGGCCCAGACUCCUACGGGAGGCAGCAGUAGGGAAUCUUCCGCAAUGGACGAAAGUCUGACGGAGCAACGCCGCGUGAGUGAUGAAGGCUUUCGGGUCGUAAAACUCUGUUGUUAGGGAAGAACAAGUGCUAGUUGAAUAAGCUGGCACCUUGACGGUACCAAACCAGAAAGCCACGGCUAACUACGUGCCAGCCGCCGCCGUAA
rnacentral:rRNA from 1 species